rnacentral:misc_RNA from 1 species
AGUCGUAACAAGGUAUCCGUAGGUGAACCUGCGGAUGGAUCAUUACCAAAGAUUUCUUUCAGAUGUCUUGUAAACAGUUUUUAUUCAAUGUCGGCGGUGGAUGCUCUUCCCUUGGGGAGUGAGAGAUUGCCGGCAUUGAAACCCAAAGCACAACGUAUAUACCCAAAAACUAGCGUCUCUUAGUAUUUAUAUAACUAAAGACAACUUUUAGCAAUGGAUCUCUUGGCUCUC